GUGGGGAAUCCAGAGCAACCAUUCAAUCUAAUACCCCUUGAAGUCAAGAAAACUAUACGCAUGCGCAUAAUUACCUAAACAAACCCUGAAGCAAGAACGUACAUUAAUUUAACGACCUAGAUGGUUCUCUAUUUCUUUAUGGAAGUACAUUAUCAAAUAUCAGUUUCAUAACAGUGACAUAUAAGAAAAACUCCACUUCAGUUCUUAUAUGAC
rnacentral:lncRNA from 1 species